GAGAUUGAGCGGGCUGAGUAAGAGGAAUCAUUUCGAACAAAACCACAAAAGACACGUCUUUGACGAAGCGUUUUAUCUAGUGGUCUCAAACCCACAGUGAAUGCUGUCUGUUGGCAGACGAGACAGUCAUUAUACCAGAAUCAGCAGGAUGCCUCUUCAGUGUAAGCUCUGCUCUGGAGAAUGCUCCGCAGAAUGCUGUCCUGUUCUCUCAUACCUUCUGUUCGGCAAACCCUCUCCUGGCAUCAGCCAUAGUUCCCAGUCAGCCCACUGCUGUUCGGCAGAGGACAGCCCAGCACGCAGCGUUCAAACCUGCCUUACACCAAAUCCUCACUCUGAGCUUUGGAUGGGGUUGUUAUUAGGUGCAGGUGGUGUGGAGGAUGUUCCUUUGUCCCUGCCAGAUCGGAGGCCUCAUUCCAGGAUAGCGCCUCGGGCAGAGGCUGACAGCGAAACAGACGAGUGGGAACAGGCCCCAGAGCUGAGUCAUGUUAAGGAGCAGCCAAUUGAAGAGGAGCCUGUGGUGGGGUUGGCCGAGAAGGCUCGGCCCAUCCAGAUAGUCCUGGCCCACGAGGACGACCACAAAUUUGAGCUGGACACUGAGGCCCUGGAGAAGCUCCUACUGCAGGAGGAUGUCAGAGACCUCAAUGUGGUGGUGGUGUCUGUAGCCGGGGCCUUCCGCAAGGGCAAGUCCUUCCUGCUGGACUUCAUGCUCCGAUACAUGCUCAACCAGCAGCAGGAGCAGUCAGACUCGUGGGUGGGGGAUGAUGAUGAUCCUCUGACAGGGUUCAGCUGGAGAGGAGGCUGUGAGAGGGAGACCACAGGGAUCCAGGUCUGGAGUGAAGUGUUUGUUGUCAACAAGCCAGAUGGGAGCAAGGUUGCUGUUCUGUUAGUGGACACACAGGGAGCCUUUGACAGCCAGUCCACCAUAAAGGACUGUGCAACAGUUUUUGCCCUGAGCACCAUGACCAGCUCUGUACAGGUGUAUAACCUGUCUCAGAAUAUUCAGGAGGAUGACCUUCAGCAUCUCCAGCUCUUCACAGAAUACGGCCGGCUUGCUUUGGAGGAAAUCUAUCUUAAACCCUUUCAGUCACUCAUGUUCCUGAUCCGAGACUGGAGCUAUCCAUACGAACACAACUAUGGACUGGAGGGGGGGAACCGCUUUCUAGAGAAGAGACUGCAGGUGAAGCAGAACCAGCACGAGGAGCUGCAGACCGUGAGGAAACAUAUCCACUCCUGCUUCUCCAACAUCGGUUGCUUCCUACUGCCCCACCCUGGCCUCAAGGUGGCCACCAACCCCAUGUUUGACGGAAGAUUAAAAGACAUUGAUGGUGACUUCAAGGAGGCGCUGGGCAAUCUGGUGCCCUUACUGCUGGCUCCUGAGAACCUGGUGGAGAAGGAGAUUGGAGGGGCGAAAGUGACCUGCAGAGAUCUAGUGGAGUAUUUUAAGGCCUAUAUAAAGAUUUAUCAAGGGGAGGAGCUUCCUCAUCCCAAGUCCAUGUUACAGGCAACGGCUGAAGCCAACAACCUUACAGCAGUUGCUGGAGCAAAAGACAUGUACAGCAAAAGCAUGGAGAUGGUGUGUGGAGGGGACAAGCCCUACAUCGCCCCUGCAGACCUGGAACGUUGCCACGAGGAGGUCAAGGAGUGCUCAUUGCGUCGGUUCCGCUCCGUGAAGAAGAUGGGCGGAGAGGACUUCUGCAAGAAAUACCAGGAGCAGCUGGAGGGCGAGCUGGAUGAGGCCUACUCCAACUUCCACAAGCACAACGAGGGCAAGAACAUCUUCUAUGCCGCACGCACACCUGCAACGCUGUUCGUCGUCAUGUUCGCCACCUACAUCGUCUCAGGGCUGACCGGCUUCAUCGGCAUGAACACUAUUGCCAUGCUGGCCAACCUGGUCAUGGGCGUGGCCCUCAUGAUGCUCUGCAUGUGGGCCUAUGUAAAAUACUCAGGGGAGUUCAGAGAUGUGGGCACCAUCAUAGACCUGUUGGCAGAGACACUCUGGGAACAGGUGCUUUCCAAACUCUUCAAGACGACCAAGAGUCAAAUCACAUGGAGCUUUUUCCUACCAGCAGCACAGAGAAAGAGACUACCCUCAAACAACAAUGACAAGACUGACUGACUAACUAGCCUUUCUGGCUAGCUGCUUGGCUCUUUAUUUCCAAAUGCAUCUGCAUUCCGCUCUUGUCAUUCCUUGUGGCCUAUGGGGCUGGUCUUAAUUAUAGGGAUGCUGUCUGCCUGGUUCACCCUACAUGUAGAGCGCAGGUGUUGAAGCCUCUGAGUGAGCAAUAUAUGGAGGAUAACGUUAGACAGACUGUGGUCAACUCCAUCAGAGCCAGUCUGACAGAACAGGUCACGCAGCACGUCAAGUCACACUGACCCCUCCCUGCCAUCCGCUCACCCACUCAGUGUGCUAAGUCCUAGAACUGUGCAAACCAAAGUAUAGCCAGCCUCGUCUGCUGUAGUGUCCUGUAUUACUGCUGGCUUCUCUAUCAGAUCCUUUCUGUUGGGAGGUGGACAAUCAGUGAGUUAAGUGGAGUUGCCAGUCUUCUCCUGCCUUUACCAAAAUUGGACCCAUUUCUCAAAUGUGCCAUUUUGUAGAUGCAAUCCCACCCCUACCCAGGUUUUUAAAUUAUGAAGAGUUGUCAGUUUUGCUGGCCCAGUUUUAGUUUCUAAUACUGUAAUUAAACUGAUUGCAGUUGCUUUGGUUUCAAGGGAAAUUCAGGGAAAUGCAGCUCUGAUGCUGUGCCUUUGGAAGCAAGCUGAACUAUCUGCAUGGUCAUAUACUGUAGCCAAGCCAGUCUGUUCCUCCCUCUCUUCUGAUAUUGUUUGGUUUUAAACUGUGGUGGAUUUAGGAAGCGUUUGAGCCUCAUUGUUAAGGUACUGAACUUGCUUUAGUGUCUACCUACCAGUAUUACCCACUGCAUGGUAUUAGGUCAACAUAGCAUAGUGCUAGAAUAGGUCCUAGAGUUCAAGCUAUUGGUUAGCGGGGAAGUAUUCAGACUAUUUAACUUGUUUUUCUAAAACCCACAAGUAUAGUGGGAGUGAUCAAAGGUAUUGCAAAUCUAGCAUGUUUUUCUCUUAAUACAGCACUGAUCAUUUAUGCCAACACCCGAGUACAAAUUCCAUCCACAGCUGUCUCGCCUAGGAACGUGCCAGUUUGUACAGUCUUUUUUUGUUUUACAAAUAAGGCAUGAUGUUUUUGUCAUUGCAACUUUAUAUACAUUUUUCUUGUUAUGGCUUUUUGGGGGAAUUGGCCUAAAAGUGACUUGUUAUGGAAUGUUUUGUGAUUGGUCUUACAUGUAAAAUUGCGUAUAUUCUUUCUACUAUACCAGUAUGUAAACAAACUCUAGGCUAGAGCACUUCAAUUCCACCUCGGACAACGCUUUCUGGAAUUUGAGUGGGCCGAAUGUCUUUUUGCAUUUUAAAUUCACUGUAAUUUAUUUUUCAAUAAUGAGUACAUUGACCUUAAUGAUUAAAAUCAAUAUACUGUUUAUGA